UGGGGGAUAUUGCACAAUGGGGGAAACCCUGAUGCAGCGACCCCGCGUGGAGGAAGAAGGUUUUCGGAUUGUAAACUCCUGUCGUUAGGGACGAUAAUGACGGUACCUAACAAGAAAGCACCGGCUAACUACGUGCCAGCAGCCGCGGUAAAACGUAGGGUGCAAGCGUUGUCCGGAAUUACUGGGUGUAAAGGGAGCGCAGGCGGACCGGCAAGUUGGAAGUGAAAACUAUGGGCUCAACCCAUAAAUUGCUUUCAAAACUGCUGGCCUUGAGUAGUGCAGAGGUAGGUGGAAUUCCCGGUGUAGCGGUGGAAUGCGUAGAUAUCGGGAGGAACACCAGUGGCGAAGGCGACCUACUGGGCACCAACUGACGCUGAGGCUCGAAAGCAUGGGUAGCAAACAGGAUUAGAUACCCUGGUAGUCCAUGCCGUAAACGAUGAUUACUAGGUGUUGGAGGAUUGACCCCUUCAGUGCCGCAGUUAACACAAUAAGUAAUCCACCUGGGGAGUACGACCGCAAGGUUGAAACUCAAAGGAAUUGACGGGGGCCCGCACAAGCAGUGGAGUAUGUGGUUUAAUUCGAAGCAACGCGAAGAACCUUACCAGGUCUUGACAUCCGAUGCAUAGUGCAGAGAUGCAUGAAGUCCUUCGGGACAUCGAGACAGGUGGUGCAUGGUUGUCGUCAGCUCGUGUCGUGAGAUGUUGGGUUAAGUCCCGCAACGAGCGCAACCCUUAUUGCCAGUUACUACGUAAGAGGACUCUGGCGAGACUGCCGUUGACAAAACGGAGGAAGGUGGGGAUGACGUCAAAUCAUCAUGCCCUUUAUGACCUGGGCUACACACGUACUACAAUGGCGUUUAACAAAGAGAAGCAAGACCGCGAGGUGGAGCAAAACUCAAAAACAACGUCUCAGUUCAGAUUGCAGGCUGCAACUCGCCUGCAUGAAGUCGGAAUUGCUAGUAAUCGCGGAUCAGCAUGCCGCGGUGAAUACGUUCCC
rnacentral:rRNA from 1 species